GACGAACGCUGGCGGCGUGCUUAACACAUGCAAGUCGAACGGAAAGGCCCUGCUUUUGUGGGGUGCUCGAGUGGCGAACGGGUGAGUAACACGUGAGUAACCUGCCCUUGACUUUGGGAUAACUUCAGGAAACUGGGGCUAAUACCGGAUAGGAGCUCCUGCUGCAUGGUGGGGGUUGGAAAGUUUCGGCGGUUGGGGAUGGACUCGCGGCUUAUCAGCUUGUUGGUGGGGUAGUGGCUUACCAAGGCUUUGACGGGUAGCCGGCCUGAGAGGGUGACCGGCCACAUUGGGACUGAGAUACGGACCAGACUCGUACGGGAGGCAGCAGUGGGGAAUCUUGCACAAUGAGAGGAAGCCUGAUGCGGCAACGCCGCGUGCGGGAUGACGGCCUUCGGGUUGUAAACCGCUUUCGCCUGUGACGAAGCGUGAGUGACGGUAAUGGGUAAAGAAGCACCGGCUAACUACGUG
rnacentral:rRNA from 1 species